AUUGAACGCUGGCGGCAUGCUUUACACAUGCAAGUCGAACGGCAGCACGGGCUUCGGCCUGGUGGCGAGUGGCGAACGGGUGAGUAAUGCAUCGGAACGUACCGUGUAAUGGGGGAUAACGUAGCGAAAGUUACGCUAAUACCGCAUACGCCCUGAGGGGGAAAGCGGGGGAUCGUAAGACCUCGCGUUAUACGAGCGGCCGAUGUCGGAUUAGCUAGUUGGUGGGGUAAUGGCCCACCAAGGCGACGAUCCAUAGCUGGUCUGAGAGGAUGAUCAGCCACACUGGGACUGAGACACGGCCCAGACUCCUACGGGAGGCAGCAGUAGGGAAUCUUGCGCAAUGGGCGAAAGCCUGACGCAGCCAUGCCGCGUGAAUGAUGAAGGUCUUAGGAUUGUAAAAUUCUUUCACCGGGGACGAUAAUGACGGUACCCGGAGAAGAAGCCCCGGCUAACUUCGUGCCAGCAGCCGCGGUAAU
rnacentral:rRNA from 1 species